rnacentral:pre_miRNA from 17 species
UUCCCAUAUCAAAGACUAGCCAGUGUUGAGAGGCGGAGACUGGAGCAAUUGCUGGGUUUCCCGUGAAGCAUUGCACUUGUCUCGGUCCGACAGUGCUGGUACAACACCACUGCUCAGUCG